AGUGAACGCUGGCGGUAGGCCUAACACAUGCAAGUCGAACGGCAGCACAGUAAGAGCUUGCUCUUACGGGUGGCGAGUGGCGGACGGGUGGGGAAUACAUCGGAAUCUACUUUUUCGUGGGGGAUAACGUAGGGAAACUUACGCUAAUACCGCAUACGACCUACGGGUGAAAGCAGGGGAUCUUCGGACCUUGCGCGAUUGAAUGAGCCGAUGUCGGAUUAGCUAGUUGGCGGGGUAAAGGCCCACCAAGGCGACGAUCCGUAGCUGGUCUGAGAGGAUGAUCAGCCACACUGGAACUGAGACACGGUCCAGACUCCUACGGGAGGCAGCAGUGGGGAAUAUUGGACAAUGGGCGCAAGCCUGAUCCAGCCAUACCGCGUGGGUGAAGAAGGCCUUCGGGUUGUAAAGCCCUUUUGUUGGGAAAGAAAAGCAGCAGGUUAAUACCCCGCUGUUCUGACGGUACCAAAAGAAUAAGCACCGGCUAACUUCGUG
rnacentral:rRNA from 1 species